rnacentral:tRNA from 1 species
GUCGGUGUGGCUCAGUUGGUUAGAGCGUUGGUCUCAUAUGUUUCGAUGUGACUUGGUUAAACGCCAGGGUAAUCCAAAGGUCGAGAGUUCGAGCCUCUCCACCGACA